GUGCUCGCUUUGGCAGCACAUAUACUAAAAUUGGAACGAUAGAGGAGAUUAGCAUGGCCCCUGCACAGGGAUGACACACAAAUUCAUGAAGCGUUCCAUAUUUUU
rnacentral:snRNA from 1 species